rnacentral:tRNA from 1 species
GAGGGUAUAGCUCAGUGGUAGAGUGCAUGCCUAGCAUGCAUGAGGUCCUGGGUUCAAUCCCCAGUAUCUGCA